AUUCCAGCUCCAAUAGCGUAUAUUAAAGUUGUUGCAGUUAAAAAGCUCGUAGUUGGACUUCUGGGCCGUUUUGUUGGUCUGCCGCAAGGCUGCACUAGCGGGAUGGCCCAUCCUCUCGAAGGCUGGGGGUGCUCUUAACUGGGUGCUUUCAGAACUCGGGAUCUUUACUUUGAAAAAAUUAGAGUGUUCAAAGCAGGCUUACGCUUGAAUACAUUAGCAUGGAAUAAUGGAAUAGGACUUUGGUUCUAUUUUGUUGGUUUCUAGAACUGAAGUAAUGAUUAAUAGGGAUAGUUGGGGGCAUUAGUAUUUAAUUGUCAGAGGUGAAAUUCUUGGAUUUAUGAAAGACUAACUUCUGCGAAAGCAUUUGCCAGGGAUGUUUUCAUUA
rnacentral:rRNA from 1 species